UUGCAGGCUGUAACGUGUUGUGUAUGGUGAUUUUAGUUCUGCAAAGUGCACAGAUGUAAUACUACACACGGAAUGGCUUCACUUUACAUCCCCCAAAAGGUUUAAUUUCUGCAGACCUUGGUCUUGGAUCUUGAUUAGUCGUGAGUUUUGGGCCCAGCAGAUAUAAGGACUUCAUGGAAUUUAGCGGAGACAAGCCGAAGAUGAGUACUUCAUAAGAGCACGAGGGCAAAACAAUAACUUAUACAGAU